AAUAUUGCACAAUGGGCGCAAGCCUGAUGCAGCAACGCCGCGUGCGCGACGAAUGCCUUCGGGUCGUAAAGCGCUUUUCGGGGAGAUGAGCACGGACAGUAUCCCCGGCAGAAGGAUCGGCUAACUACGUGCCAGCAGCCGCGGUAAAACGUAGGAUCCGAGCGUUAUCCGAAUUCACUGGGCGUAAAGCGGAUGCAGGCGGCCGCACAAGUUGGAUGUGAAAGCUCCCGGCUCAACUGGGAGGGGACGUUCAAAACUGUGAGGCUCGAAGGCGGUAGAGGAAGGUAGAAUUCCCGGUGUAGUGGUGAAAUGCGUAGAUAUCGGGAGGAAUACCCGUGGCGAAGGCGACCUUCUGGACUGUUUCUGACGCUCAGAUGCGAAAGCUAGGGGAGCGAACGGG
rnacentral:rRNA from 1 species